UACGGGGGGAGCAAGCGUUGUUCGGAUUUACUGGGCGUAAAGGGCGCGUAGGCGGUCGUGACAAGUCACUUGUGAAAUCUCCGGGCUUAACUCGGAACGGUCAAGUGAUACUGUCGGACUAGAGUACAGAAGGGGCAACUGGAAUUCUCGGUGUAGCGGUGAAAUGCGUAGAGAUCGGCAGGAACACCCAGGGGGAAACCAGUCGACUGGGCAUCUACUGACGCUGAGGUGCGAGAGCGUGGGGAGCGAACCGG
rnacentral:rRNA from 1 species